CUUAACUCUUCUCUCCAUUGCUUUUUCUGAAGGAGCUUCACACGGUAAUCAUACUCCUCAAAAUAUGCUUUCUUCUGCCCCUUGCUAAGCUUAGCAAGCUGAGUUUUCCUAAGAGGCUUGAAUGGUGGGAGCUGGUCAUAUUCAUCCUCUUCUUCAUCCUGAUCAGAAUCAGACAAGUCAGCCAAGUCAAUGUCAGAAUCAACAUUGUCACCCCCUUGGUCAGUGGAGAGUUUAGGAUGUGAACGGGACUGCAACAACCAAGACAAUAGGUAUGGAAGGGGAGGUGAACGAGUGCGGAAACCAAAAAGCUUCCGGCGGUCAAAUGGAUCUUGAGGUUUAGAAAGAGAACUUGCUUCAGAUAAAAUCUUCAUAGAGUAGCACAACAACAGUAACUGAGGUCUCCAACUUUGACCAUUAGGGAGCACCUUUUGUCCAUCUCUGUUUUUCCGACAAGAAGGAUGAUUCUCUACAAGAGAUACAGGAUUCAUCAAACUUGGAUUCAUCAAACGCAAAUCACCAACAGCUU
rnacentral:misc_RNA from 1 species